AUGGCCAUACCAUGCUGAAUAUACCGGUUCUCGUUAGAUCACCGAAGUCAAGCAUCAUUGGGCGUGGUCAGUACUUGGGUGGGUGACCACCUGGGAACACCGUGUGCCGUU
rnacentral:rRNA from 1 species